AGCAGCCGCGGUAAUUCCAGCUCCAAUAGCGUAUAUUAAAGUUGUCGCAGUUAAAAAGCUCGUAGUUGAAUUUCGGGAUCAGUUUGUUGGUCGUGCUUCGGUACGUACUGUCAUUACUGGUUUCUACCUUCUGAAGAACCUUGAUGUCAUUAAUUUGGUGUCUUGGGGAAUCAGGACUGUUACUUUGAAAAAAUUAGAGUGUUUAAAGCAAGCAUACGCUUGAAUACAUUAGCAUGGAAUAAUGAAAUAGGACGUUUGAUUCUAUUUUGUUGGUUUCUAGGAUCGACGUAAUGAUUAAUAGGGAUAGUUGGGGGCAUUAGUAUUCAAUUGUCAGAGGUGAAAUUCUUGGAUUUAUUGAAGACUAACUACUGCGAAAGCAUUUGCCAAGGAUGUUUUCAUUAAUCAAGAACGAAAGUUAGGGGAUCGAAGACGAUCAGAUACCGUCGUAGUCUUAACCAUAAACUAUGCCGACUAGGGAUCGGAUGAUGUUAUUUUAAUGACUCAUUCGGCGCCUUACGGG
rnacentral:rRNA from 1 species